AAAGGAGGAGGAGGAAGGAGGAAGAGGAGGAAGAGGAGGAAGAGGAGGAGGAGGAGGAGGAGGAGGAGGAGGAGGAAACCAGUGGCACCUUCACAGUCUGUAGACAGUGGGAAAUGAGAAGUCUAUUUGAUGGGGAGCAUUUCCGUACAGAAGGUAGAAGGGAGAUGGGGAACAGUAGUUGUGACCUUGCCCAACAGUGUGAGUACAGUUAGUCACCAUAUGCCCACUCAUGGAUAAGACAGUGAGUGCAUUUCGGGCUGUGUUUAGUACAAUGCAAUCUUUUAUACUUAUUUCAACAGCCAAGUCUAACACAGACUAUUCUGCUCUGAAUGACAGAGAUGUAAACACACUUUGCAGAGAGCCAGUCACACAAAGAUGAAGAAAGGGUACUGCCAUGGCUGGUGUCAGGAGUUCCCCUGGCUAAGCUGAUGAGAGCUGUUGCCUGCCACCCAUACUGUGACUUGGCCCAUCUCUUGGACUACGUGGUUUUAAUGUCUGUGUUGCUACAAUUCUUUCUCUACACGUGGAUCCUAUUGCCAGACACUGUGAGAGCCGCCAGGGUCACCACAGCAAACAAGAGAGAGUCCCUUUAAAGAUCUGCAGGUGCAACAGAUCCUUUCAUUUCAACUUGGAAGCUGUUGAGUCUUUCGAAGUCACAGAGACAAAUGGGUUGCCUGAAGUAGUACCUGAAGUGACCAGUACAGGGAGGCUAGGGGAAGACCUCCUGCUUGGGAAGGUGCACAUAAGAUGACAAUACUGAAAACUCCCCUGGGGCCAAUUCCAGAAAGACAAAAAUCCUGAAGAGCAAAUAGUGAAUCAUGGUGUCUGGGCUGGAUCCUGUCCUUGAGUCUGACACAGUGAUGAACCUCUAGGCUCCCCUGCUUGAGGGGUGUGGGACUGAGAGGCAAGCGGAGACUCCCUGUCUGGGCCACCCACUUGGAAAUCACACCUCAUGGUUUGGCUUCAAAGUUUCAGCCCGUUCCAGGCUGGUGAAGUUCUUUCUCCUCUCAGACUUUCAUGCUGUGGACCCGCUGGGAUCCUGCUAAACGAAGUUCUGAGCACUGGUUAUCAAGUUACCAGCGCCUUCCUUCAUGUGCUUUGGUUCUGGUUCUAAGUAGUGUGGCUGCAGAAAGGGUUCCAUCCACCAAUCAUGGCCAGCACACAUGGCCAAACAUACAUUUGGGGAUAUCGGUCCUAGAGCAUCUGUGACCUGGGCAUGUCUCAGGCCAACCAGAGCAGAAGGAGACAGGGCUACAUGUUGUAGUGAAGGUAUCCUACACAUCAAGGGAUGGGGUCAAGGGACUUUCCAGAGGUGAGGCCUUUAGGAUUUAUUCAGAUAAAAUGGAUUAAAGUCACUUGUAGCAAAAAGGUUUGAUGUUCAGAAACAUUUUUUUUUCUUAUUUCCCCAAAGACAUAUGUAUGCUAUAAAAAGAUUUGCUGAGAGAAGACCCAAGAAUCCUUUGUUGUCAUCUUUCUGCUGGCCGGCCAGUUCUGUGACUGACAAAAACCCAAGAAGAGAAAUUCAAAGGAGGAAAGAUUUAUUUUAGCUCAUGGUUUUAGAGGUCUCUGUACAGAGUGAGCUAGCUCUGUGCUGAGGUAAGGAACAGGCAGCUGAGAGAUUGCACCAUUUUACCACAAGUGCCAUGACAGAGCAGGGUAGUGGGAGGGUAUGGCGGGACCCAGAUAUUCACUUUACAACAGCCAGAAAAUAAAAGGUAAUGGGGGUUGUCUCUUCCCAGGGCACAUCUCCUAACAGUCCCUUUAGCCCUGAAUUCACCUAGGGGUCAACCCAUAAAUAAAGAUAGAACACUCAUGACCCGGGUGUCCCUGAUGAAUGGCUUUACCAACUGGGGACCCAUCCUUCAACAUAUAGGCAUUGUGUAUUAGCUAGUUUCCCGUUGCUGAGAUAAAACACUGUGAGCAAAAGCGCUAUAUGGAGGAAGGUGUUCAUCUUGGUUUAGUCCAGAGGGGUAAUGGUCUCCCAGGGUCAGGAAGCAUGGUCGCUAGGGCCAGCUAUAGCAACAGGAGCAGAAAGCUGAGAAAUCACCUUUUAUCACAGGCAUGAAGCAGGGAACACAAGCUGGCUGUAAAGCAAGGCCACAAGGCUCUCAAACCCUGCUCCCAGCGACACACAUGCUUCUCCCAGCACGGCUGCACCCCCUAAGCCUUCUCCCCAUUCCUAAACAGUGCCACCAACUGGACACUAAGUGUCCCAGUUCCCAGGCUUAUGGCUGAGGCUUUUCGCUCACAUAGACAAUAGCAACGAUCACUUAACUAGAGUUGCUGUCAACGGCGUGAUCUUCCUACAGACCGAUUUCAACCUCCUUCCCCUCGGCCUCAAAUUCAUAUGCAGAAUACAUUUCACAAAAUGGAACUGUAUCUGGAGACAGGGCUUUAGAAAAAAAAUUAAAUGGAAUGAGGUCAUGGGGUGGGGCUCUAACCCAUAGGAUGGGCACCUUUAAAGGAGGAAGAAAGUUGGGUGUGGUGGUGUAACCCUAACACUCCCGGGAAGCUCCAAGCCAGCCAGCCUUGGUUACAAAAGAAAAAAGAAAAAAGAAAAGAAAAGAAGAAGAAAAAAGAAAGAAUGAAGCUCAGUAAAAGUGCUUGCCUUGCACACACAUGAAGCCCCUGAUUUCAUGCCUAGCAUUGCAUAAACCAGUCAUGAUAGGACACGCCUGUAAUCCCAGAGCUCAGGAGGCAGGGGCAGGAGGACUGGAAGUUCAAGGUCCUUCACAACUACAGAGUUCGAAGCCAACCUGAGACUCUGUCUCAGGGGGGAAAAAAGAUGACAAGAACUCAAAAGAGAAUAAAGAAGCAGAGAUCUGUCUGAACACAUUCAUGCAUGCGCGCGCGCGCGCGCGCGCGCGCGCGCACACACACACACACACACACACACACACGCCACACACACACAGAUAACACGAGACACAGCAAGAAGGUGGCCAUAAGCAAGGAAGAAAGUCCUCAGCAGGAAAAGUCAGCUGACACCUUAAUCUGGGAGUUUUCAGCCUCCAUGCAUGAAAGAGUAACUUCCUGCUGUUUAAGCCACCCGUCGUCUACUACCAUAUCUUGCGAUAGCAGCCUGAGCCUCUAUCCCCUUCUUCUAUGUGAAUGCUUGUGUUUUAAUUACCAAAUAAUGUUAGCUCCGCACGCAUCAAGCUGCAGAUGGCCUUUUGUCUUAAUUGUAGUUUGAAUUGUGUUCUCUGGCUAAGUAUUCUUUUGUGUGUCAUAGGUCCUGGCUCAUAGUAUGUCACAUGCUAAAUACUCACACAUAAACAUACGUUCUAUGCUCAACGUACACAGUUGAAUAAAGGCAGUUCAGCAUCUACAACUUAUAA